GCUAUUCAUUCAAAGAGUGCGUAACAGCUCACUAGUCGAGCGGUGACGCGUGGAUGAUGACCGGGCAUCAAGACUGCCGCCGAAGCCGAGGACGCAUCGCGAGAUGCGUGGUAGGGGAGCAUUGAAACCAGCGGAGAAGGUGGCGCGGCGAGCGCCGCUGGAGCGGUUUGAAAAGAAAAUGUAGGCAUGAGUAACGACAAGGGGAAUGGAAAUUCCCCCGCCGACAACCCAAGGGUUCCUGAACAACGCUAAACGUAUCAGGGUAAGCCGGGAGCUAAGUCGAAGCCGACAGGCGCAGACGAUGCCCAAGCGGUAAAGAUUCCGCUGCCGGCCAUACGGGUCAAUAUGAGACCGAGGAGUGAUGUGUCCGCCAUCUGACGGAAUAGGUGGUUGAACCGGGGUAGGGAGACCGAGCCGGGACAGUACGGGGAGUCCACGGACGACCCGACAGCGAUGCAGAAGCAGACUUGCGAGAAAAUCAUAUUGGCGUCAAGAGUAUGGCCGCCCGUACCGUAAACCGACACAGGUGGGUGAGGAGAGGAUCCUAAGGCGCUCGAGUGAAUCACAGCUAAGGAACUAGGCAAAUUGACCCCGUAACUUCGGGAGAAGGGGACCCACAGCGAUGUGGGCGCAGAGAAAUGGCCCAGGCGACUGUUUACCAAAAACACAUGGCUAUGCGAAAUCGUUAAGAUGACGAAUAUGGCCUGACACCUGCCCGGUGCCGGAAGGUUAAGAGGGGGAGUCACCGCAAGGGAAGCUCUGAAUCGAAGCCCCGGUAAACGGCGGCCGUAACUAUAACGGUCCUAAGGUAGCGAAAUUCCUUGUCGGGUAAGUUCCGACCUGCACGAAUGGUGUAACGAUCUGGGCACUGUCUCAGCUGUGAGCUCGGUGAAAUUGUAGUGGCGGUGAAGAUGCCGCCUACCCGCAACGGGACGAAAAGACCCCGUGAACCUUUACUAUAGCUUAGCGCUGGACUUUGCCGGACGAUGUGUAGGAUAGGUGGGAGACUGCGAAGGGCAUACGCCAGUAUGCCUGGAGUCGCCGUUGAAAUACCACCCUUCGUCCGGCGGGGUCCUAACCUUCUGAGAAGGGACACCGCUUGGUGGGUAGUUUGACUGGGGUGGUCGCCUCCAAAAGAGUAACGGAGGCUUCCCAAGGUCCGCUCAGCGCGAAUGGCAACCGCGCGGAGAGUGCAGUGGCAAAAGCGGGCUUGACUGGGAGACAAACAAGUCGAGCAGGUACGAAAGUAGGGCAAAGUGAUCCGGCGGUUCCUCAUGGGAGGGCCGUCGCUCAAAGGAUAAAAGGUACUCCGGGGAUAACAG
rnacentral:rRNA from 1 species